AGUGAACGCUGGCGGCAGGCCUAACACAUGCAAGUCGAGCGGCAGCGGGUCCUUCGGGCUGCCGGCGAGCGGCGGACGGGUGAGGAAUACAUCGGAAUCUGACCUGUCGUGGGGGAUAACCUAGGGAAACUUAGGCUAAUACCGCAUACGACCUACGGGUGAAAGCGGGGGAUCGCAAGACCUCGCGCGACAGGAUGAGCCGAUGUCAGAUUAGCUAGUUGGCGGGGUAAAGGCUCACCAAGGCGACGAUCGGUAGCUGGUCUGAGAGGAUGAUCAGCCACACUGGGACUGAGACACGGCCCAGACUCCUACGGGAGGCAGCAGUGGGGAAUAUUGGACAAUGGGCGCAAGCCUGAUCCAGCCAUGCCGCGUGGGUGAAGAAGGCCUUCGGGUUGUAAAGCCCUUUUGUCCGGGAAGAAAUCGUCUGUGCUAAUACCCCGGGCGGAUGACGGUACCGGAAGAAUAAGCACCGGCUAACUUCGUG
rnacentral:rRNA from 1 species